CCACUUUGAAAUGCCACUGGUCGAUCAUGGCCUGCGGUUGAUGACAUCAACUUAUCAAUAAAAUCAGCAGACUAAUUGCAAACUGGUUUCUCUAUACCAUUCACAUGCCUACUGGUAGAAUGGGAAAUAUCCUCCAGUCUGCCCUCAGUCCAACAUCAUUGUGUAAAGAAGUAGCACAAACCAUGGAUGGUAAAUGGCGGCACCGCCACCGCCAAUUGUUUGCCAAGCGCGUACGGCAAAAUACAGUACUGAAGUGACAAAGUAAAUCAAUUUUCCCCUUACGGACGGCUGCUCUCUGUAUCUCUGGCCUGGUCUCUGGAAGAGGAGAGGUGAUACAACAAUUCCACACUGUACACAGCAAGUCUGCAAGAAACUCACAUUUGCAAACAGGGUGCUGACUCAGUUAUUAGCACCAAAGGAUCUCUGAUCUCAUUAAUGAAAAUGAUGCCACUGAGUUCUCUGAGGAGAGUGGUGAGGCAGGUGAGAUGUUAGAUUGUAUUAUACUAAUGGUUAACUAGAACACUUUAAUUGGAAUGUGAAAGUGCAACCAGUGAAUUGUGUUGUUUUUUUUUGAAAGGUAAAUGGACUGUAUUAUCUUGAUCUUAACGACUGUCGUAGAAUCUCCUCAUUCAGUUUGAGACACUGUGCUUGGUGCACUGUGCGAGGUCCUCUUAUCAAAAGCAGGUCAGGUCACUGUCUCUGGAACUCAUAGUCUUAGAAAACAUCCUGAUUCUAAGGAGCCAUUCCAUCUGUUUAAUGACGACAUUAUUCUGAGAGGUUAAAUACACCACGCGGACCAGGAUAUGGAGGGUUUUUGGGACAUCAUGCAGUGACACUUUUUUGAUCUUUGUACGAACCAUAAAUCCCCUCAAUAUUGAGCUCU